UACAGAGGGGGCAAGCGUUGUUCGGAAUUACUGGGCGUAAAGGGCGCGUAGGCGGCCUGCUAAGUCGAACGUGAAAUCCCUGGGCUCAACCCAGGAACUGCGUCCGAUACUGGUUGGCUUGAAUCCGGGAGAGGGAUGUGGAAUUCCAGGUGUAGCGGUGAAAUGCGUAGAUAUCUGGAGGAACACCGGUGGCGAAGGCGACAUCCUGGACCGGCAUUGACGCUGAGGAGCGAAAGCUAGGGGAGCAAACGGG
rnacentral:rRNA from 1 species